UGUCCCCAAAGCCACCUCACAGGGCAGGGAGGUGUCCCCAAAGCCACCUCACAGGACAGGGAGGUGUCCCCAAAGCCACCUCAGCCAGCUCUGCUGGCCCCAGCCCCAGGGCUCCUCUUCAGCCAGCUCCUCCCGCAGCAUUCCAGUGCCAUUCCACAGCAGGACAGGGAUUUGCUCCUCAGCUUGGCCAUUCCCUGCAAUUUUUCACUGCAAUCACCUAAAGGCACAUUAAACACUUCCUUUGCAGGUGAAGACCAAACAUUUGUGGUAGCACAUGAGAUGCAAAUGGAACAAAGAUCAACAGUAGCAACACAAGCAGCUGAAAGCCACAACUACAGGAGCCACAGGACUACUUGAAGGUGGAGAUUCUGUGGAGAAUAAUCCUUAGUUCAAGAGAAAAACCACUGCAGAGUGUUGGUAGCUAUAAAUCACCCUCAGAGCUCUUUAGGAGAAUUCCAGAUGGGAAAACAGAGACCAUCAGCACAUCAGCAGCCCCUUGGGAAUGCCAAGAAAUUCAGAUUUGCUGGAGAAAUGCGAGUCCUGUUGCUGAGAAACCUCUAAAGGGCAAGGGAGAGAAUCACCUCUACAGGGUGUCAGUGACUCAAACCUGUAAAGGACAUGGAAUAAACAGGAAUAAACAGGAA